rnacentral:rRNA from 1 species
GCUUACGGCCAUACCACCCUGAACGCGCCCGAUCUCGUCUGAUCUCGGAAGCUAAGCAGGGUCGGCUGGUAGUACUUGGAUGGGAGACCGCCUGGGAAUACCAGGUGCUGUAAGCU